rnacentral:rRNA from 1 species
UCGCGGCCUAUCAGCUUGUUGGUGAGGUUACGGCUCACCAAGGCGACGACGGGUAGCCGGCCUGAGAGGGUGACCGGCCACACUGGGACUGAGAUACGGCCCAGACUCCUACGGGAGGCAGCAGUGGGGAAUAUUGCACAAUGGGCGCAAGCCUGAUGCAGCGACGCCGCGUGAGGGAUGACGGCCUUCGGGUUGUAAACCUCUUUCGCCAGGGACGAAGCGCAAGUGACGGUACCUGGAGAAGAAGGACCGGCCAACUACGUGCCAGCAGCCGCGGUAAUACGUAGGGUCCGAGCGUUGUCCGGAAUUACUGGGCGUAAAGAGCUCGUAGGUGGUUUGUCGCGUUGUUCGUGAAAACUCACAGCUCAACUGUGGGCGUGCGGGCGAUACGGGCAGACUGGAGUACUGCAGGGGAGACUGGAAUUCCUGGUGUAGCGGUGGAAUGCGCAGAUAUCAGGAGGAACACCGGUGGCGAAGGCGGGUCUCUGGGCAGUAACUGACGCUGAGGAGCGAAAGCGUGGGGAGCGAACAGGAUUAGAUACCCUGGUAGUCCACGCCGUAAACGGUGGGUACUAGGUGUGGGUUUCCUUCCUUGGGAUCCGUGCCGUAGCUAACGCAUUAAGUACCCCGCCUGGGGAGUACGGCCGCAAGGCUAAAACUCAAAGAAAUUGACGGGGGCCCGCACAAGCGGCGGAGCAUGUGGAUUAAUUCGAUGCAACGCGAAGAACCUUACCUGGGUUUGACAUGCACAGGACGUGCCUAGAGAUAGGUAUUCCCUUGUGGCCUGUGUGCAGGUGGUGCAUGGCUGUCGUCAGCUCGUGUCGUGAGAUGUUGGGUUAAGUCCCGCAACGAGCGCAACCCUUAUCUUAUGUUGCCAGCGCGUAAUGGCGGGGACUCGUGAGAGACUGCCGGGGUCAACUCGGAGGAAGGUGGGGAUGACGUCAAGUCAUCAUGCCCCUUAUGUCCAGGGCUUCACACAUGCUACAAUGGCCGGUACAAAGGGCUGCGAUGCCGUGAGGUGGAGCGAAUCCUUUCAAAGCCGGUCUCAGUUCGGAUCGGGGUCUGCAACUCGACCCCGUGAAGUCGGAGUCGCUAGUAAUCGCAGGUCAGCAACGCUGCGGUGAAUACGUUCCCGGGCCUUGUACACACCGCCCGUCACGUCAUGAAAGUCGGUAACACCCGAAGCCGGUGGCCUAACCCCUUGUGGGAGGGAGCCGUCGAAGGUGGGGCUGGA